rnacentral:rRNA from 1 species
UACAGAGGGUGCAAGCGUUAAUCGGAAUUACUGGGCGUAAAGGGCGCGUAGGCGGCCGAGCAAGUUAGAUGUGAAAGUCCUGGGCUUAACCUGGGGACUGCAUUUGAUACUGCUUGGCUUGAAUUCGGGAGAGGAUAGCGGAAUUCCCAGUGUAGAGGUGAAAUUCGUAGAUAUUGGGAAGAACACCGGUGGCGAAGGCGGCUAUCUGGACCGACAUUGACGCUGAGGCGCGAAAGCGUGGGGAGCAAACAGG